rnacentral:rRNA from 1 species
AGUGAACGCUGGCGGUAGGCCUAACACAUGCGAGUCGAACGGCAGCACAGUAAGAGCUUGCUCUUACGGGUGGCGAGUGGCGGACGGGUGAGGAAUACAUCGGAAUCUACUUUUUCGUGGGGGAUAACGUAGGGAAACUUACGCUAAUGCCGCAUACGACCUACGGGUGAAAGCAGGGGAUCUUCGGACCUUGCGCGAUUGAAUGAGCCGAUGUCGGAUUAGCUAGUUGGCGGGGUAAAGGCCCACCAAGGCGACGAUCCGUAGCUGGUCUGAGAGGAUGAUCAGCCACACUGGAACUGAGACACGGUCCAGACUCCUACGGGAGGCAGCAGUGGGGAAUAUUGGACAAUGGGCGCAAGCCUGAUCCAGCCAUACCGCGUGGGUGAAGAAGGCCUUCGGGUUGUAAAGCCCUUUUGUUGGGAAAGAAAAGCAGCAGGUUAAUACCCCGCUGUUCUGACGGUACCCAAAGAAUAAGCACCGGCUAACUUCGUG